GAUUAACGCUAGCGGCAGGCAUAAUACAUGCAAGUUGAACGGCAGCACAGGUAGCAAUACUGGGUGGCGAGUGACGCACGGGUGCGUAACACGUAUGCAACCUACCCUAUACAGGCGAAUAACCUUUAGAAAUGAGGGCUAAUACGCCGUAGUAUUACAGAUGGGCAUCUAUUUGUAAUUAAAGAUUUAUCGGUAUAGGAUGGGCAUGCGUCCCAUUAGUUAGUUGGUAAGGUAACGGCUUACCAAGACGAUGAUGGGUAGGGGAUCUGAGAGGACUUACCCCCACACUGGUACUGAGACACGGACCAGACUCCUACGGGAGGCAGCAGUAAGGAAUAUUGGGCAAUGGCCGCGAGGCUGACCCAGCCAUGCCGCGUGCAGGAAGACGGCCUUAUGGGUUGUAAACUGCUUUUAUACGGGAAUAAUAGAGUGUACGCGUACAUUUAUGCAAGUAUCGUAUGAAUAAGCAUCGGCUAACUCCGUG
rnacentral:rRNA from 1 species